rnacentral:tRNA from 1 species
AGUUAAUGAACUUGUAUAAGUGUAUACUUUGAAAGUAUAAAAAAGUGGUAUAAUCCCCUAUUGACUU